UCCAAGUUUCCUGAGUACUCAGAGAAGGCGCUGCAGGGGAGAGCUGGGCAGGAAGCAAACUCGGCACAUCUGCUCAACAGCCCUGUGGAGAGUAGGGGCAUUAACUCCAUUGUACAGAUGGGAGAACAGAGGCUCAGCCAAGUUCCAAGAUUGACCUAUGGUCUAACACAGAGGGAAAGGCAAUGCUAGGGCUGAAGCUAUGCCUUUGGUCUUUUGGCUGAGAGCCUGAGCUCUUCCAACAGCAGCAAAGGAGAAGCAGUCACUCUGGCUCCACGUGAUUCCGUGAAUAGCCCAAGAACACCACCACCAGGACCUUUACACUCUCCAUCCCCUGCGCCCAGAGCGCACUUGCCCAGAGGCCCCUGCGUGGCCAGCUCCACCACCUCCUGCAUCUGUGCACAAAGGCCCCUUCCCGGGAGGCUGUCCUGGACCACCCUGUAAUGUAUUGUAACCUGCUCGCCAGCACUCCUUACUCUGCUGCAUUCUUCUCUGCGAUAUAGAUCACAAUCUGACAUAAUAUGUAUUUGCUUGUUUGUUUUUUUACCUGUUUCUGCCUCGGAGAAGAGAAUCUUUGAGAACGGAGGGAUUUUUGUUGUU